UACGGGGGGGGCAAGCGUUGUCCGGAAUCAUUGGGCGUAAAGCGCGUGUAGGCGGCUUGGUAAGUCCGCUCUGAAAGCCCGGGGCUCAACCCCGGGAGGCGGGUGGAUACUGUCAAGCUCGAGUCCGGAAGAGGCGAGUGGAAUUCCUGGUGUAGCGGUGAAAUGCGCAGAUAUCAGGAGGAACACCAAUGGCGAAGGCAGCUCGCUGGGACGUGACUGACGCUGAGACGCGAAAGCGUGGGUAGCAAACAGG
rnacentral:rRNA from 1 species